GUGGGGAAUUUUGCGCAAUGGGGGAAACCCUGACGCAGCAACGCCGCGUGAGUGAUGAAGGCCUUCGGGUCGUAAAACUCUUUUGGUGGGGAAGAAAUGCGCAGCGGUCAACACCCGCGGCGCUUGACGGUACCCGCAGAAAAAGUCCCGGCUAACUCCGUGCCAGCAGCCGCGGUAAUACGGAGGGGGCCAGCGUUGUUCGGAAUCAUUGGGCGUAAAGAGCGCGCAGGCGGUUGGGUCAGUCAGACGUGGAAGCCCUGGGCUUAACCCAGGAAUUGCGUUUGAUACUGCCCGGCUCGAGUUCGGGAGAGGGUGGCGGAAUUCCCAGUGUAGAGGUGAAAUUCGUAGAUAUUGGGAGGAACACCUGUGGCGAAGGCGGCUACCUGGACCGAUACUGACGCUGAGGCGCGAAAGCCAGGGGAGCGAACGGGAUUAGAAACCCUAGUAGUCC
rnacentral:rRNA from 1 species